AAAACACACGGACCGUCGGUCUAUCGAGCGAUUACACUCGCUCAGCGGAAGAUUUUCUUGUUGUCGC
rnacentral:pre_miRNA from 1 species